rnacentral:rRNA from 2 species
GAAUAUGGCUGCACCACUCUGAACACGCCUGAUCUUGUCUGAUCUCAUGAAGCUAAGCAGGGUCAGGCCUGGUUAGUAUUUGGAUGGGAGGAAUAGAUCUUGAAUUUU